GACGAACGCUGGCGGCGUGCUUAACACAUGCAAGUCGAACGGAAAGGCCCAGCUUGCUGGGUGCUCGAGUGGCGAACGGGUGAGUAACACGUGGGUGAUCUGCCCCUAACUUCGGGAUAAGCUUGGGAAACUGGGUCUAAUACCGGAUAGGACAAUCGUUUAGUGUCGGUUGUGGAAAGUUUUUUCGGUUAGGGAUGAGCCCGCGGCCUAUCAGCUUGUUGGUGGGGUAAUGGCCUACCAAGGCGUCGACGGGUAGCCGGCCUGAGAGGGUGGACGGCCACAUGGGGACUGAGAUACGGCCCAGACUCCUACGGGAGGCAGCAGUGGGGAAUAUUGCACAAUGGGCGCAAGCCUGAUGCAGCGACGCCGCGUGGGGGAUGACGGCCUUCGGGUUGUAAACCUCUUUCGACAGGGACGAAGCUUUGGUGACGGUACCUGUAUAAGAAGCACCGGCUAACUACGUG
rnacentral:rRNA from 1 species